ACCCACCCUCGUCGUAUCUGAAAUUUUGAAGACAACAUACAUUAGGAUCAAGAGACUAUUGUUGUACCUGUUACUGAUGAUCAAGUCAAAGAGACUGCUCUUAUGCAUAGUAUGUCAAAGGAAGAACCUUCAAUUCAAAAACAGAAUGAGAAACAGAAAAGACUUGCAAGUAAAGAAACUAGCACAGAUAUAGGAGAAAUGGUAAACUCACUGUAAACACACAUAUUAUUCAACCACACAAACUAGAGUGAUGAAGAUGUACUAAAAAUAGUAAAAGUGGAACGUUCAGAAACAACAAAGAGUCAGGAUGCUAAUGGUGCAUU